UUUUUCUUUGCUCAACAGGCUGUUUUCACAUUGAGAAUGUUUUCAGUUGUGGAAUUCACCUCAGAUCACAGUGUAGCUGUAAUUCCUGAUGCAUGGAAAGAAAAAUUAGACCAGGACAUCUAUUGCUACUGGCCACCCAACAAUGUCCAAAGUUUAUU